UGUUCUGAUUUGCUCCGGAUUAAUAAAAUGGACGUGAGUGUCAAUUCCACCUGGAGUGACGAUCAUACCUUCAGCAGCAAUAACUUCUGUACCGGCGCCAAUCACAAUAUCCACAUUGUCCAUGAUUAGCGGAUUACCUGCUUUCCCGAUUCCAGCGAUUUUGCCAUCACGAAUUCCAAUGUCCGCUUUAUAAAUACCAGUGUAAUCUAAGACAACAGCAUUCGUAAUGACAACAUCUGCUAUUCCCUCUCCACGUGUAACUAAAGGGUGUUGUCCCAUUCCAUCAC
rnacentral:sRNA from 1 species